GAUGAACGCUGGCGGCGUGCCUAAUACAUGCAAGUCGAGCGAACGGACGAGAAGCUUGCUUCUCUGAUGUUAGCGGCGGACGGGUGAGUAACACGUGGAUAACCUACCUAUAAGACUGGGAUAACUUCGGGAAACCGUAGCUAAUACCGGAUAAUAUUUUGAACCGCAUGGUUCAAAAGUGAAAGACGGUCUUGCUGUCACUUAUAGAUGGAUCCGCGCUGCAUUAGCUAGUUGGUAAGGUAACGGCUUACCAAGGCAACGAUGCAUAGCCGACCUGAGAGGGGGGACGGGCAAACUGGAACUGAGACACGGUCCAGAACCCUACGGGAGGCAGCCGGAGGGAAGCUUCCGCAAGGGGCGAAAGCCUGACGGAGCAACGCCGCGGGAGUGAUGAAGGUCCUCGGAUCGUAAAAAUCUGUUAUUAGGGAAGAAAAUAUGUGUAAGUAACUGUGCAAAUCUUGACGGUAACUAAUCAGAAAGCCACGGCUAACGACGUGC
rnacentral:rRNA from 1 species